rnacentral:lncRNA from 1 species
UGUACCCGCUACUCUUCUUAGAACCACACUCUAAAAGCUCUUUCUUUUAGCCUCUAUUGGUUUUUCUUAACCAUAAUGGAGGCGUCACCGUGUUUGUUUCGAAGUUGACGCCCAUUCGGAGUUGCGUAAUAAAGACCGAAAAUCAUAAACCUUCUUGACGACGCCCCGUUCAAUGCCCACAAAAAGGUCAAUGGUCUCCCUUUAUCCUUUUAUCUGUUGUAAGUAAUAUUUGAGUUCUUUUAUAAAAUAAUAAGUGUUAGUUCUCUUUUCUGAUCUUUGAUUAGAAACUAUGAAAUAAGGAUUUAUCAUGCUUUCAUUCAAUGUUUCAUGUUAUUUGUGAACUAGUGAACGCGGUUUAAGGUUUCUUUAUAAUAUUAUUCUGGAUUAAGUGAUCAGAUUAUGUGAAGCAUUGUAUGCUAUAGAAUCUUAUUUUUUCUAAAAUGUAAGUUGUUAACCAGAAGUCAUGACUUAUGGAUAUGUUGCCAUAGAAAGUAUGGUAAUAAAGUUAUGAAAUCAUCUCUGUUUAAAAUUUGGUAGAAUCUGCAAUUUAAAGUUUACUAGGAAUCAUGAUUUCGUUACUUGGUCAUUAUCCGUUAGCAUAGUGAUACUUCAGUUUGAGACAAUCUGUUGAUGACAAAGAAUCUGCAUUAUUCAUUAAAAGAUCUAUUUGUGCUCCUUCCUGUAAUGAAAUCAAGUUCAUAAACAAAAUAGAAACCUACUAGUAUAACUUAAGAAAGAUUACUGUUUUUUUAUUAUAACAUGGUUCAUACAUCCCUAACAACUAGUUAAAGUGAAGUGUGAGUGCAGAGUUAUGUGUUAAACACCCUUUUCAGGAAUUGAUAUCAAUUCUGCCUGCAAUUUAAGGAUCAUAUAAUUGUUACAUAGUAAGUCAGUGAUCAUGAUAGCAUGUAUAUAUGAUAUCUUAAGUAGUAAUGGUAAAAGUGAAAUCUGUUAGCAUGUGUUUGUUGAACAAAGUAUGCUUUUUGCUGCUGUCAUUUCUUAUGUACCUUGAAGAAUCAAGUUUAACUUUUGCUAAUGGCCUUAAGGAAGUGUAAAUCCCAAUUUGUUUGUUAGGCUGAAUCUCUUACUUUAGGAGGUAACUUGAAUACAUAAUGUAAUUGUUUAACCUUAAUAUAAGAACAUCACUUGAGAAACCUUUCAAAUUGGUAAAAGUUUAUGUGCCUUAUUAGCAUGAUAUGCAUAAGUACUGGUUUUUUAGCAUAAGUUUGUGAUUUAUGUACUCUUUCUGUAACUUUAGUUUUUCUUCUUUUAUCUUCCUUACGUGUUUAAUAUAUUCAGAUCCUCUUUCUAAUCCUUUCUUUUCUUUCUUUAUUUUGCAUGAAAACACCGGAGCCGCAAAGAGUUCCAGUAUGGGACUCGACGCUGCUGCCUAGACACAAAGCACGCACACCCCUUCAUUUUCUCUUCUAUUCCUGAACUUAUUUAGGCUCUCGAAAAAAGAGAGGAAAAGUAGAAGAGAUGACCAAACAUUGGCUGUCUAAUGUUACUUUCCUGUGUUUAUUAGCUAACUGUUUUAUGCGAUCUAUUUGCUUGCUUGGUUGCUCGAACUCAUUUGAAUUAAAUUAGUUUGUUUGAUCACGUAGUAUUUGGCAUCUCGAUGUGCAAACUUUAACACCAAUAAUAGCUUUUCAUUUAGUAGUCCGGGCUAAUAGACCUAACUAAUUUAAG